rnacentral:rRNA from 1 species
UAGCGUAGGGGGCGAGCGUUGUCCGGAUUUAUUGGGCGUAAAGAGCGUGUAGGCGGCCAGGUAGGUCUGCUGUGAAAACUCGAGGCUCAACCUCGAGACGUCGGCGGAAACCAUCUGGCUAGAGUCCGGAAGAGGAGAGUGGAAUUCCUGGUGUAGCGGUGAAAUGCGCAGAUAUCAGGAAGAACACCCGUGGCGAAGGCGGCUCUCUGGGACGGUACUGACGCUGAGACGCGAAAGCGUGGGGAGCAAACAGG